rnacentral:misc_RNA from 1 species
GAUGAAGAACGCAGCGAAAUGCGAUAAGUAAUGUGAAUUGCAGAAUUCAGUGAAUCAUCGAAUCUUUGAACGCACAUUGCGCCCGCUAGUAUUCUGGCGGGCAUGCCUGUCCGAGCGUCAUUUCAACCCUCAAGCCCCCGGGCUUGGUGUUGGGGAUCGGCGAGCCUCCGCGCCCGCCGUCCCCUAAAUCUAGUGGCGGUCUCGCUGUAGCUUCCUCUGCGUAGUAGCACACCUCGCACUGGGAAACAGCGCGGCCACGCCGUUAAACCCCCAACUUCUGAACGUUUGACCUCGGAUCAGGUAGGAAUACCCGCUGAACUUAAGCAUAUCAUAAGCGGAGGA